rnacentral:lncRNA from 1 species
GCUCUCCCGCUCUCUGUAUCUUUCCGUGUCGCGUCGCUUCAUGUGGGGAUUGAAUGCCGAGUGUUAGCUUUUGAACGGAAUCGAAGCAGCUGACAGUUGAGCUUCAGCAUUAGACCAAGUAGUUUGACUUUUUAGUUUUUUCGAAACGCGAAACGAAAUGAAAAGUUUGCCGACAAGUGUGCGUGUGCGUGUGCGUGUCCAUGUGUUCUGUCUAUGUGAGUGUGUGUGUGUGUUUGUGUUGCUGUUGUGGCAGCUGCUUCUGCUGCUGCUGCAUUUGCAGCGGCGUUGCAGCGAGAGCAGACCGUACAGAAAUACAUUCCGCCCUGCAUUUAGUAUAUUUCACCUUAGAGCGUCUUUGGUCUGCCACACACACACACACACACACACACACACACACACACACACACACACACUAGAAAACCCUCUCCACACAUACACACCGCACACCGACUCAAAAAGCGCUGCAAGUUUCUUUCAUUCACGUCCGCGUGGUGGCCAUCAAAACGGAAAGCAAAGGAAAGGCAAAAGGCAAGCAUUGUCGUCGGUUCGCGUCGCGUUGCAGCGCUUCGUUCGGCUAAAAAGAAAAUCGGCCUAAAAUUGUAACAGUUUUCCUUUUGCACCGAAACGCCAAAAAAUAACGCUGCAGUCGUCGUUGCUGCAGUCGACGCUGCCGCUGCCGCUGCCGCUAACGUUGUGGGGCCUGCCGCUGGCUGCGGCCGCUGUCGGCUGCUGGCCUGCUCCCGGCCAGCGUCAGUGUUCAUUUCCCCAUCGAGUCGGCCACACACGGGCAGGAGGCGGCGGCCAACACUGAGGCAGGUGUCCAGCGGCAGGUGUCGACGUUCCGAGGACAGACACAGGCGCAUCCGAGAGUCAGUUGUGGAUUUCGUUGGCUGAUUUGGCGGAUUCGAGCACGGAUUUGGAGCUCCUCCACAGCUGUUUGUUUCUCCCUCCACACCCCACUCCAUAGUUUUCUUUUGAUUUUUCCCCGCAAGUGUUUUUCUUUGUGUGUUUGUUUCCCUUGGUUUGCGAUUGCAUGGGAUUGCAUAAACCAACAGCAACAUUUUGGGUUUUCGUAUACGUAACAUUAUUUCAGUUCAGUUCAGUUCAGUUCAGUUGGGAACGCUACGGCACGGCACGGCAAGGCACAUCUGCUCUGCAAUUGCAUUAUAAUUUGUUGUAGUACUUCCCUGGGCAUUAUGCAAUUGCAAUGGCAACAGAAACAACAACAGCUGCAACACACACACACACAGUUGUUAGAGAGACACCCUGUAAUUGCCAUAGCACGAAACAAUGCCAAUGCAAUGUGAACAACAUUAGGGGGGGACUCACACACACUCAUCAGCUAUAGAUACAGAUCCCCACACACACUCAUAAAUAGCCCACACUCGGGCGUCUGGCCUGGCAAUUUGUUUAAAACAAUCAACGGCCACUGUGCGGCCUUCCAUCUCUUUCGUACGCUGCACUCUCGUGUGGUGUUGCUGAAUGUUUUAAAUUUAGUUUUUCUGCACUUGCUUGUAACCCAAAUUUCUGGCGAGUCUUCUUUUUCCUCUCUUUUUUUGCUGGCACAUUCACUCGUAUGCGUAUUACGUAGAUUUUAUAUAAGAUGCAGCAACAUUUUGGUCAAACAAUGUCAGGCAAUGGGGUGACAGAGAAAGGGUUGCACAGAGACAGGGUCACAGCGGUACAGAGGUAGCGAGAGAGUUGAGAGACAAUAGCGUACACCUGAAGUUAAUUGCACACGAGGACUGGGGAUUUAAUUUCCCAAGUGAAACAGAGUCUUGGCUCAAUUAAAGCACAGCUUUGACAGGCGGCGGCAUCUGAUGAAAGGCAAACACUCAAAAAAAUCUACAACAUGCUAUAAAAUAACAAUUAUAGCAGGAAAGACAGAGAGAGACAGAGAGAGAGAGAGACAAGCACUUGCAAUUUGAGAGAUUCAAAGCAACAAAAACAAACCACACACACAGACACACAUACACGUAAUCACUUGACCUUGCACGGCUUUUUUUCUUGCAAUACAAAGAAAAACAGAGAUACAAUAUACAUAUAACACAUAGCUAGAUACAAUUCAUACAUGUGUAGAGAGAGAAAGAGAGAGCUAACAGCCAAUUGCAAUAUUUUCGUGUAAAAAUAACGAACAGAACGAACUUUUAUAUAAGGCCCCAAACACACACCGAGACUCUGUGGGAAAACUGCAAGCGUGUGGGUGAUGAAAUGACUGCAAUGCCUCUGCCAUGAGGUCGAUUUUUAGUAGAGGCAAAAACACUCGCUUUGAUAUGUGUGUAGGUAUAUUUGUACGAGUAGUGCGCGGGGGUGGAUCUAUGACUGAAAAAAUGCAUUUGACACAGAAAAAAGCAGCAGAGCACAGCUAGCACAAGCGUCUAACAGAGCAGAAAUUGAAUCAAAGAUUCAGCUAAUGCCCUAAAUAAUGAGUAUCUCAGCAAUAUUCAAUGAUUCAUGAGAAUCGCCAAUAGCCGCUGAUUGAUUUGAUGGAACUACAUUUCGCGCGUAGCCAAAAACCAGUUUAAGGCCUUCAACUUCAAGCUACAAAAGCUAUGGAAAAAUGUUAGCCAAAAGCCAACAACAACUUUGAUAUAAGCCAGAGAAAUCUCCGCACAGAAUACACAGAGUCCAAAAGUUGUCUUCUCCCUAGAAAAGUUUUUCCAAACAAAAAGCAAAAUAUAUUUAGCAUAUCAAAUUUUAUUAGCUAUGCCGUUGGACUUUGUGGUCUGCUCUUUUUGUUUAAAUUAUAUUCUAUAUACGCAAAACUUGAGCAUAUAUUUUAUAUAAAUAUUCCGCAACAUCUUGCCAGUUCGCUGCUAAAAUUUGCAUUUGGAAUUUGAACUUUAACUGAUAUCAGCAGCAGCAGCAGCAGCAGCAGCAGCCAGACCAGACCAGACAGAAUCCCAAAACAUUUUUAGCCUAAAGCAAUUACCUCGACUGUCAUGAGCAGAUAUCGUUAUGACAUCAUUGGCGGCGUCAUUUAGUGAUGGAUCGUUAGCUAAAUACAAGCUGCAUAUGUACACUGUAUGUAUACAUAAACGUACGUACGCAGGUUAGUCAGCAUUUUAUUUGGAGGAUGCUGAAAUAAUCUCUAAAAUGUACGAGACUGACUGAUAAGCCUGUCUGGCAUUCCUCUAGCUUUUGCUUGUGUCUCAUUUUGUUGUUAUGAAUCACGUGUUUCGAUUCGAUAGUUUCAAAGUAUUUAAAUAUAGGUACAAAAACGCUCGCUCUUUAGAAUGUCUUUUGAUAUUUUGCGGCUGUUUGUUUUUGCUGUUUUGUGGCGACCUUCCGCCCGGGCCGCAAGGUCAUAUGUGAGGAGAUUCCGUUGCAGCAGCCACUGCAAAACUCAUUCCAAAUGGAGGUCAAUCUCGACCCGCUGCAGUGCGACUCUCCCUCGUCCUUCACAGCACAGCACGGCACAGCAGUUAUGUAAAGAAGGAAGUGGGUCAGUGUUAUGACCUAGUUUCUCAGUGGGUGGUACGGGGAAUACCCACCACCCAUUGACAUUUCCAUGCACAGCUUCAAGCUCAUUCGCUUACCCAUCCUCGGGUGCUGUUUGAUUAGUUUGAAAUGUGUGUUUUGGCACCUUCAAUAAUUACAGCUGGAUGGCCCGCUGUCGCUGUCGCUGUCGCUGCCUGGCUAUUGAUUUUUGAGUCGGUGCAGCUAUGCGCUUUGUGUGUGUCUGUGCAUAUAGUAUAGUCAACCUAGAUAACUUUGGCAUGGCCCAAGAGUGUACGACUAAAAGUAUCUAUCGCACAAGCAUGCAGUUCGCGAGCUUAGCCAAGGAGCCAAAAAUAAAGAUUAUUUUUUGGCUCCGAGCCAAUAUGGCAAUGCACAUUUGCAAGGGAUGAAAAGGCGGGGCGAAUGGGGGGUGCUUGGAUGGUGGUGCUGCAGGGUAAAAUGAAAAGUGAAAUGUUGCCAUGUAAAGUGGAAGGAAGCAGAGCAAGCCCCAUCCAACCAUCUAUAUCUAUAUGUGUUCUAUAUAUACAGAGAGAGAGAACUGACAUUUAUUAGUUUGCAAAGUCGACAAGUGCUCUAUAAAUAUGGCCAAAAUGCACUCAAAUGACAAAAUGUAUGGCCAACUGCAUAACUCAUCUAUUGCCCACCUCUGACCCGUUCAGUUUCCUCCCCCUCAACUACCCUUGCCGUGAAUGCAUUGCACACUUGUGUGUCACUUUGCUUUGCCUCUUAUUACAUCACCGAGAAGGCAAAACCGACACGAUACGGAUAGACUUUUGCUUGAGGCCUUUACCGAUUUGGGUCAACCUCUGAGCCUGCCAACAAAUCUUCACAGACACACACACAGACACGCUUUGAUAUGAGGUUUUGUCGAUGAGUCCUAGUCGAAGUCACUUCUUGUUGUUCUUGGCCAAACAAAAGUUCUUUAAACUGCAAGAGGGGUGGUAAAAGUUAGACAGAAACAUUAAAGAUUUAUGUGUGUCAGGGCGUAGUUUUAUUCAGCUCAAUUUUCCUUUCCCUUUCAUUGGUCAUUCCACUCUCUAUCUGUCUAUCGGAUAAACCAUUCUCUUUUUGGUCUCCAAAGCAAAUCCCCUGUAGAUCUUUCGCUCAUUAGCUAUCACGCCUUUGGCGCAUGACUCAGUUUUGUUGUUGUCUUUAAUUUUAGACAAAAUACCACAUAAAACCAAAAGAAACAAAAACAAAUACCGCUAUCUGCUGCUAGCAUCAGUCGUCAUUAGUUUGCUGCGUCAAUUGUUUGUAUUUAUAAAUGCCGCAAAGGCACGUAAAUGGCGCUAGAAUACAAGAAAUUCCGUUUUUCCAGCUAAUCACGAGCAUACUUCCACAUUGCUCUGACUGUGUUGGCUGUUGCUAAGCGCUCCAUGCGCUCACUUGAAGUAGUCGAAAAAUCAUUCAUAAAAUUUGUGAAAUGAAAUAUAUUUGGCGAGUCAGACAGACAGACACAAGGGUUGCUCUGUCUCUCUAUCUGUCUGUCUGUCUCCAUGUCUGGUAGUUGUUGUUUUCCCUCUGUCUGCAGAUAGCGCACGGAAUGGCAAACAUUCCGCUUUUUUUUUGGUAUUACGUAUACGCAGCGUUCUCCAUGCGAUAUGCUUUUCUUCUCUGUAUUUUUGCGCGUUCCUCAGACUAUUGCGUGUGCGCUCGCGUUCGUUAGCUUCUAUAGAUACAGAUGUAUAUAUAUAUACAUUGUAUAUUUCACUGGUUGUGUAUGUGUGUGUGUCUGUUUAGCAGAUAAUAAGUGCCAGAGUCCGCGUGUACGUGUUGGUGACUCGCUCGCGCUGAUCAUGCGACCUACCAAAUUGCUUGAAAAAUGGGGGAAACACGUUCUCUUGCUCUGGAGCAUUUCUUCUUCGAUGUUACAACACAAAAAGGGGCAUUCCCACUUCUGUUUCUCUUUACCAAAAUGUUUCUAGUGUCUGUCGCUUGUUUUGCAUUUCGCAUUUGCAAUUGGCAAAUCUAUUUUUGUUUGGCCAAGUCAAAGUGUAAUUUAUUUAAGUAGCGUUAUGGGCCACUUCCGGUGACGACAACACUUCUCCGAAAACUUUGUUGGCAGUGGCAGGCGGGCAGGCGGGCAGGCAGGCAGCUUUGAUGACCCAGAUAGUGGAAACGUAAACGUGUUGGCCAACACACAUUCAUGCAGCAGGGAGGGGGGCGGGCACGUCAUGAAGUGCUAAUGAAAAAUGCUCAGCAUUUGCCUAAUGAAAUUAUAACUGAGCCACUAAGUGCGCCAUAAAGAGGGAAAGAAAAAGAGUUUGGAAUGGGAAGAGGAAUAGGAAUAGGAAUAGGAGUAGGGGUGGAGCAGGAAUGUUUUCGGGGCAUUUUAGAAAUUGUCGGUGGCACUCGUGGGCCAGGUCGAGCAUGUAGCCCAUUUAACGCACAUGGAAACAAGAAACAAAAACCAAAACAAGCACAUGGAACCGUAUUUCGUUGCUUUAUUCAGUUAACGCUUUUUAAGCUCAUGAGCUAGCUUUUCAUUUAUCAAUACACCAAAGCACACAGGCACACACACACACAUCGACAGUAAUGAACAAUAAUUUAUUUAAUUGACCGAGCUCUUGUUCUUUCGAAAUUAGAACACACAGAGAGAGAGAGAGAGAGAGAGAGAGACUCUCGCACGCGAUUAAAAACUAAAUGGUUUACACAUAGUAUUAUGAAUUUUUAUAAGCGGAAACUUUUUUUAUUGGCUGUCUCUGUCGUACAUUUAAUCCCACUCGCCACACAGAUGACGCAUCACGCAUACGCGCAGCAACAGCAGCAGCAACAGCAGCAGCAACAGCAGCAGCGUGUUGCAAGCAAACAUGGUUUCAACAGUGUUUUUUGUGUUACUUUUCCCGUCCCAAGCAAUAUGGAUUUUAUUCUCUAAUUUGCGGAUUUUCCUUGUUAGCUUUUCGGUUGCAUUUUUGUUUCUUUUUUUGUGGCCUCGUUUUGGAUUUUAUUUUGCCACACCCCGAGUCAGAGUCAAAAGCAGCCAUGCAAGUCGAGAUCGAAGGCUGGCUGCGUUUUGGCAGAAUACAAAUUGAAUCUUUGCUCCAAAUAACAUUUGGAACUUUUCGGAUGGGCAGGGGAUCCGCAUCAAGCUUACUGUGGGAGUCUACCACAGAGUCUCUACUCAGAGACUGAGUAUAACCCUUCAGUGUUCCCCCCUCAUUAAGGCGUUGUCUGCACUCUGCUGCGUUUCAGUUUAUAAUCGUCUUUCCUAUCUUAUCUUCGCGGCUGGCAAGCGGUACGGUACGGUACGAGGUUCGAUGUGGGGAGCACAUUUCAUGAUUUUACUUUGUUAAUUUCCGCAUGGAUUUUACUGGUGACUGAUGGGGCCCGAACAUGCUUAGUGGGCAAACUGGUGCCAGAACAAACGACAUUUUGUGACAUACAAAUGACUUGUAUAACCGAGCGCCGAUCGCCAAUCAGCGAUCCACAUCGACCCACUUUCCACACCAACUGCUGCCACUAUCGGCUCCGCACCUUGGCACCUGCGAUUGCUUAUCACUCACAUUCGAGAGGUUUGACAUGGGCUCCAUUUUCGGGUAGAGCUGAUCGCACAGAUAUCGCUGCUGGUUCAUUGCACCUUCUCGUUACUCCUCCCCACAUGUUACACGUUCAGCAUUAUUCUGCAUGAGUUCUGAGUUUUGGUUUAGUUAUGAAAGAUUCCUCUUUGGUUGAUGUUUUCUGUACGUCCCUCGUUUGUUUCCCUUUCUUUUGUGUUGUUCUGCCAAAUCCAGUAACAGCUGCAGGAAAAUCCACUGACUGCCAGCAACGCUGCCGCACGACUCUCUGUACGCGAUGUCGCGACCGCGACGGGCUCAAACAAAUCGAUUAAACGAUAAACCGAUCAACGAUAAACGAUUAACUGAACAUAGCAAAAGCAUCCUUUAAAUGUUUUGGGUUGCGUGUCAGGAGUGCAUUUGCACUGAAACAUUCUGAAGCUUGUAAAUGCACUAUCUGGUACGACAUUCCAGAACGUACAAUCUUCCCGAAUGCAAGACAAAUGCGAAUAACUAAAUCAAAUUAUAUGCAAUUUUUGUGAUAGUGUGAAACAAUUUCUCAAAACUGAUUUACUUAAAUUAAUUUUAACUAGAACUAAAAUAAGUUACUGUAAGCUUUACACAUUAUAAUUGUAAGAGAUUUUAU